rnacentral:rRNA from 1 species
UUAAUAUUAGUUAUGAAAUAUAUUUCAAGAAAUUUUAUAUUUAGUUUUUUAAGAAUAAAAGUAGAAUAAAUAAUUUUUAUUACUAUUAAUAUGGUUUAGCUUAUUAAUAUUAUAUAUUGAUUAAAUUUUUUUACCUAAAUAAAUUUGAUAUUGUUUACUUUAUUAAUUUAUAAUUGAUGGUGAUUUUAAUAUAAAUUUUUAUUAAUUAUUAAUUUAUUAAAAAAUUUAUUUAAAUUAGGAAGUUUCAUAUAUAAUGAAAAAAUUAGUAAAAAUUGAUUUAUAUAAAAAAAUUAUUAGUAAUAAUAAAUAAAAAUUAUAAUUAUUGUAAAAAAUGAAUUCGGCAAAAAAUUUAUUUGACUGUUUAGCAAAAACAUUGUUUCAUGAAUAUUAAUAUGAAAUAAUGUCUGUCCACUGAGAGGCUUGAAGGACUGCAGUAUAUUGACUGUAUAAAAGUAGCAUAAUCAUUAGCUUUUUAAUUGGGGGUUGGUAUGAAGGCGAAACGGAUGAAUUCUUUAUUUUUUAUAAAUAUUUUAAGUUUAUUUUUAAGUGAAAAAUCUUAAUUGGAUGAGAGGGACAAGAAGACCCUAAUAAGUUUUAUUUUUCUUUUAUUUAUGUUAUAGGAGAGUAAGAUUAGAUAAUAUUAAAUGAUAAAUUUAAUUGGGGCGAUUAUUUAUAAAACAUAAUUUGGUUAUAAUUUUU